rnacentral:pre_miRNA from 1 species
UCUUCAUUUCACGUGCUAUCUCACAGGUCAGAGAGGCGAGAGAGCACGAGUAAUGAGGAAA